AAAUUAAAUUAGACAUUUACGAAUUUGUAAUAUGAAUUUAAAAGUUUCAACAUUGUAUGAUCAAGUAUCGAAUAUAUGUACACCAAAUUUAUGCUUCAGGAGAAUUCAAAGCAAAGUCCAAAUUGUUUUAAUUAUGUAACUUUUGAUACUUUCGAAUAGAUUUAGAGAUAUUGUUUGAAUUUGUGAACAAUAAGUACAUGAUUUGUUGGUUAUAAAGAAAGAAAUUCAGUUGUAGAUAGUUGUUUUCUUGUUAUUCUACUAGGAUAGUUUUUUUAAAUCAAUUGCCUAACUGCAUAAGAAAAAGUGAAAUUAGAUACUUUAUAGUUAAGAUUUACCUUUUUGUUCGGUUAUAUUUUUGAAUUAUGAAUUAAUUAUAGAAAAUAGAUAUAAAAUAAAAGUCAACUAAAUUUAAUUUUUCACGCACUUAUCUGAAAUAACUUGUGUUAUCCACCAUACAACCAAUUUUUUAUUAUUAUUAUUUAGAGGAGAAACAAAAAGAAAUAUGGGAAAAUUCUAACUUUCAAUUAAACAAAAUUUUGGACUGACAGACGUAGUGGAGAAGAUGAUGACACGUAAACGUCCGGAGAAAGAAACUGUGUCUAUGAGCCACCAGUGGUGGGGGAAUCCAACGAACAACUACCGGUGACAUUAUCUUCUACGCCGGAGGUCAAGGAUCAAGCUUCACUGACAACGUUUAUGUCAUCUUUGUCUCAAGUCUUACCUCGUCGUCACUGGUUCUUCUCCGACCGGCAGUCCAUGGGCGCAAAAUAAAUCUCGAGCAACAAUGGCUAACUUUGACUUUCUUGCACAUUUAGUCCUUCGGUUUUUGUAUAAUUUUGUUUUGGCUCUAAACUUUUUGUUUUACAGAAACGUCCUAUUGAUUUUGCCUCUAGUUUCCAACUA